GAACGAACGCUGGCGGCAGGCCUAACACAUGCAAGUCGAGCGCCCCGCAAGGGGAGCGGCGGACGGGUGAGUAACGCGUGGGAAUAUGCCCUUUGCUACGGAAUAGUCUCGGGAAACUGGGGGUAAUACCGUAUACGCCCUUUGGGGGAAAGAUUUAUCGGCGAAGGAUUAGCCCGCGUUGGAUUAGGUAGUUGGUGGGGUAAUGGCCUACCAAGCCGACGAUCCAUAGCUGGUUUGGGAGGAUGAUCAGCCACACUGGGACUGAGACACGGCCCAGACUCCUACGGGAGGCAGCAGUGGGGAAUCUUAGACAAUGGGGGCAACCCUGAUCUAGCCAUGCCGCGUGAGUGAUGAAGGCCUUAGGGUUGUAAAGCUCUUUCAGCUGGGAAGAUAAUGACGGUACCAGCAGAAGAAGCCCCGGCUAACUCCGUG
rnacentral:rRNA from 1 species